rnacentral:rRNA from 1 species
AUUGAACGCUGGCGGCAUGCUUUACACAUGCAAGUCGAACGGUAACAGGCCGCAAGGUGCUGACGAGUGGCGAACGGGUGUGUAAUGCAUCGGAACGUGCCCAGUCGUGGGGGAUAACGCAGCGAAAGCUGCGCUAAUACCGCAUAUGAUCUAUGGAUGAAAGCGGGGGACCGUAAGGCCUCGCGCGAUUGGAGCGGCCGAUGUCAGAUUAAGUAGUUGGUGGGGUAAAGGCUCACCAAGCCGACGAUCUGUAGCUGGUCUGAGAGGACGACCAGCCAAACUGGGACGGAGACACGGCCCAGACUCCUACGGGAGGCAGCAGUGGGGAAUUUUGGACAAUGGGCGCAAGCCUGAUUCAGCAAUGCCGCGUGCAGGAAGAAGGCCUUCGGGUUGUAAACUGCUUUUGUACGGAGCGAAACGGUCCUGGUUAAUACCUGGGGCUCAUGACGGUACCGUAAGAAUAAGCACCGGCUAACUACGUGCCAGCAGCCGCCGUAACAC